rnacentral:rRNA from 1 species
UGGGGAAUAUUGGACAAUGGGAGGAAUCCUGAUCCAGCAAUUCUGUGUGCACGAAGAAGGUUUUCGGAUCGUAAAGUGCUUUUAACUAGGAAGAUAAUGACGGUACUAGUUGAAUAAGCGACGGCUAAAUACGUGCCAGCAGCCGCGGUAAUACGUAUGUCGCGAGCGUUAUCCGGAAUUAUUGGGCAUAAAGGGCAUCUAGGCGGUUUAGCAAGUCAGAGGUGAAAACUUGGGGCUCAACUCCGAGCUUGCCUUAGAAACUGUUAGACUAGAAUACUGGAAGGGUGGACGGAACUACACGAGUAGAGGUGAAAUUCGUAGAUAUGUGUAGGAAUGCCGAUGCUGAAGAGAGUUCACUGGACAGAUAUUGACGCUGAAGUGCGAAAGCGUGGGGAGCAAACAGGAUUAGAUACCCUGGUA